rnacentral:misc_RNA from 1 species
CUCUACUUCAUUUGAACCAAACGGGUCAAAUAGAACUUGCGAAGACCCUAGAGCUUCUGUGAGUGUAUCUGGUGGUGGUGGUGGAUAAUGUCGUCGGUGUAUGUGCUCGAGCCGCCGACGAAGGGCAAGGUGAUUCUAAACACGACGUACGGGCCACUGGACAUCGAACUCUGGCCUAAAGAGGCCCCAAAGGCCGUCAGGAACUUUGUCCAGCUCUGCCUGGAAGGGUAUUACGAGAACACCAUCUUUCACCGUAUUAUCAAGGGCUUCCUCAUCCAGGGCGGUGACCCCACCGGCAGUGGCACCGGUGGUGAAAGUAUAUAUGGAAGUGUUUUUCCUGAUGAGUUCCAUUCACGUCUAAGAUUCAACCACAGGGGGAUUGUUGCGUGUGCAAAUGCUGGUACACCACAUUCUAAUGGGAGUCAAUUCUUUAUUUCCUUGGAUAAGUGUGAUUGGCUUGAUCGAAAGAGUACCAUUUUUGGAAAGGUGACUGGAGAUUCAAUAUAUAAUCUUUUAGCCAUUGGUGAGGUUGAAACUGAUAAAAAUGAUUGGCCAUUAGAUCCAUCCCCAAAAAUCAAAUCAGUUGAGGUAUUAUGGAACCCUUUUGAAGAUAUUGUCCCUAGGGCGCCCUCCAAGCCUUUAACACAAUCUGCAACUGAUAUCGAAAAUAAAGAUUCAAAGAAGAAACCCGUGAAAAAGUUGAACUUACUUUCGUUUGGAGAGGAGGCUGAAGAAGAGGAGAAGGAAUUAGCAGCUGUAAAACAAAAAAUCAGGAGUAGUCAUGAUGUAUUGGAUGAUCCUCGUCUCCUGAAGGGACAACAUCCAAGUGAAGAAUUGAAUUCAUCUGAAGCCAAAGCAACAAGGGAUCUGCAGUUAUCUGUAAGAGAAGCAUUAAGCUCAAAGAAGGAUGUAUCACAGAAAGAUUUAGAUGCCGAAUUUUCUAAUAGUGAUGAUGAUGAUGAUGAGGUCAACUUUGAUGCACGAAUGCGCCAACAAAUACUUAGAAAAAGAAUGGACCUGGGAGGUCUCUCAUCUAAGCAAAAGAAAAAUGGGAGCACUAGCCCAAAAGAUCAUCAAAUUUCUGUGCCCAGGUCUACUGCUGAAAGCAUUGAUGAUGACCACCCAAGGGUGGAAAAGCUGUCACUGAAGAAAAAGGGAAUAGGAUCUGAAGCCAGAGCUGAACGCAUGGCUAAGGCAGAUGUAGAUUUACAGUUAUUCAGUGAAGCUGAACAAGGAAGACUAUUGCAAAAACAGAAGAAGCGCAGAAUUCAAGGACGUGAGGAUGAGGUUUUAGCAAAACUUGAGAAGUUUAAGAAGGCUGUUUCUGCAAAGGCUGAUACCUCAAACAGUGAGACCGGAGGUGCUUAUAAAGAGGAUUUGUCUGACUGGAGUUCUGUCCGCCUAAAGUUUGCACCUGAACCUGGGAAGGUAAGCUUCUCCUUGCCAUAUCAUUUCUCCAGUACAUGUUUUGUCAUUUCUUGGAAAAAUUUUUAGAGACCACACGAAUGUUUUUUCCCCUUCAAUCAAUGAAAUUUUUGUUAUUUAGUUCAUUUAUGAAGGUACUACAGAUAAAUAUGAUGUUAAAAGCGGUACAAGUUCCCCUCAGAGAAUUGGAUUUAAUUUAGUUUGAGUGAGAACAGUACAUAGAUUAUGAUCAUCACAGCAUGAAAUUGAAAUUGCAUAACACUUUUCCAAAAUAUUUUCUAUGCAUGACAAGGGGUAGGCAAUGUUAUGAAGUUCUCCACUUUUUAAAUUGUAACAGGAUCGUAUGACUCGCAAAGAUGACCCAAAUGACUAUGUUGUGCAUGACCCCCUUUUGGAGAAAGGGAAAGAGAAAUUCAAUCGAAUGCAAGCCAAGCAAAAAAGGCGAGAACGAGAAUGGGCUGGCAAAUCUCUCACUUAGUGUCGUCUCUGCAAAUUACGCACAAUGGAAUUGAUGAGUCAUUUUAGGGGGGUCUCCUUGUCUUUGCUAUGUAAUUUGAUUGCUAAACGUGUUAACCCAAAAAAAAGAAAAAAGGAAAAGAAAAAAAUAGCCCUAUCAAGCCAGCCAAAUUCCCAAGAAACUGUGGAAGCUGGUGGUGCAUUGUUGACCUAUACUCCGUUCCUAUACUCUAGGUUCAUUUCAUCUGGAAGGGCAUCUUUUACCAGUAAACAAAGUUUACAGAGGAAUAUUGCCAUCAUCUAUGGUGUUUUGUGCUCAUAUACUGUUCCUUGACUCAGCUUUAAUCUGUCUAAUUUAUCUUCUGUAAGGGUACCAUUCAUUGUAAAUAUCUCUGCUAAAGAUGUCAUAAUCAAAAAGGUUUUAAGAGUCAAAUUAGGUGCUUGAUCAGUUGUAGUUUGUCAAAUUGAUUGGAAUGAUAUGUGGAUGCUGGCCAACCCAACUAAUUUAGUUCUGAAAUUUGAAAAUAAUU